rnacentral:rRNA from 1 species
UACGUAGGCAGCGAGCGUUGUUCGGAAUUACUGGGCGUAAAGCGUGCGCAGGCGGUUUUGUAAGUCUGUCGUGAAAUCCCCGGGCUCAACCUGGGAAUUGCGAUGGAGACUGCAAGGCUAGAAUCUGGCAGAGGGGGGUAGAAUUCCACGUGUAGCAGUGAAAUGCGUAGAGAUGUGGAGGAACACCGAUGGCGAAGGCAGCCCCCUGGGUCAAGAUUGACGCUCAUGCA